UACGUAGGGUGCAAGCGUUGUCCGGAAUUAUUGGGCGUAAAGAGCUCGUAGGCGGUCUGUCGCGUCGGCUGUGAAAACCCGGAGCUCAACUCCGGGCCUGCAGUCGAUACGGGCAGACUAGAGUACGGCAGGGGAGACUGGAAUUCCUGGUGUAGCGGUGAAAUGCGCAGAUAUCAGGAGGAACACCGGUGGCGAAGGCGGGUCUCUGGGCCGUAACUGACGCUGAGGAGCGAAAGCGUGGGGAGCGAACAGG
rnacentral:rRNA from 1 species